ACUCCUACGGGAGGCAGCAGUAAGGAAUAUUGCGCAAUGGGCGAAAGCCUGACGCAGCGACSCCGCGUGGGGGAUGAAGGUCUUCGGAUUGKAAACCCCUUUCGGGAGGGAAGAUGGAACGGGGUAACCCAUUCGGACGGUACCUCCAGAAGCAGCCACGGCUAACUUCGUGCCAGCAGCCGCGGUAAUACSAAGGUGGCAAGCGUUGUUCGGAUUUACUGGGCGUACAGGGAGCGUAGGCGGUUCGGUAAGCCCUCUGUGAAAUCUCCAGGCUUAACCUGGAACAGUCGGAGGGGACUGCUGGGCUAGAGGACGGGAGAGGAGCGCGGAAUUCCCGGUGUAGCGGUGAAAUGCGUAGAGAUCGGGAGGAAGGCCGGUGGCGAAGGCGGCGCUCUGGAACGUUUCUGACGCUGAGGCUCGAAAGCGUGGGGAGCAAACAGGAUUAGAUACCCUGGUAGUCCACGCCUUAAACUAUGAAUACUAAGUGUCGGCGGUUUACCGCCGGUGCCGCAGCUAACGCAUUAAGUAUUCCGCCUGGGAAGUACGGCCGCAAGGUUGAAACUCAAAUGAAUUGACGG
rnacentral:rRNA from 1 species